rnacentral:lncRNA from 1 species
UGAUGCUUACAGAAAGAGAUCCACAUACCAUCUCAAUAGGUAUGAGAGCAAGCAGAAAUAGAGAAAACAGAGAUAAAGAAAACUUUGGCACAGACCAGGACCUGCUAUCCCAAGAUAGGCAAUGAAGAGAUGAGUUUGUGAAGCCCACACUUAAAUCACCAGUGAAUACCAACUCACCUGGAGAUUUUGCGUAUGAGGCAUGAAAGCAGGAGAAAUUAAUCAAAGCAUAUGAAGCCAGGAAGAAAUUGGAGAUGAUGGGAGCAAUGGUGUUCAACUGAGCUGCAAGACACAAUUCAGAUCUGCAAACCUGCAUCUUUUCCUUUGAGCAGCCA